GAUGAACGCUGGCGGCGUGCUUAACACAUGCAAGUCGAACGGGAUCCAAGGGGUGCUUGCACUUUUUGGUGAGAGUGGCGAACGUGUGUGUAACACGUGAGUAACCUGUCCUUUUCUUUGGGAUAAGCAUUCGAAAGGGUGUUUAAUACCUUAUGUUCUGUCUGCCUCGCAUGGGGUGGGUGGGAAAGGCUUUGGCCGGAUUUGGGUGGGCUCGCGGUCUAUCAGCUUGUUGGUGGGGUGAUGGCUAACACAGGCUUUGACGGGGAGCGGGGCUGUGAGGGUGGUGGGUCACAGAGGGACUGAGGUCCGGCCCAGACGGCAGCGGUAGGCAGCAGUGGGGGAUAUUGCACAAUGGGCGAAAGCAUGAUGCAGCGACGCCGCGUGGGCGAUGAAGGCCUUCGGGUUGUAAACUUCUUUUGCUCUGAGCAAGGCAUGCCAGUGGGUGUGUGGAGGGUAGGGGUUGAUUAGCGCCGGCUAACUACGUG
rnacentral:rRNA from 1 species